UGAUCCUUUCUGAAGUUUUGACUCAAUCUGGGUCUUACUUCCACUGCAAUGCAACAGGCAAGAGCCACAAGUUAUUGGUUUAAUUUUGUCUAAUUUUUACUGAGAUACGUGAGAAACAUUGUUUUGAAACAGGUGGUUCAAAAAGAAAAAGGAAGCAUAGAAUAUGGGGCAGUACAGCAGAGGGACAGGCCGUCCGACUCACAAUGUCUUGACUCUCUCAGUGGUACGUGCUUUAAUACAAUAGUAUCGGGACAUCCUUGACAAUAUUGGCUGCUUUGUGACAGUGUGUAGAUGGAAUCGAUGGAUGGCGAGGCUGGUUUGCGUAAUGGAUGAGGCUGCUUCCACAACGCUCCGCAAUUUCUUGCAAUAGUGGCCAGAGCAGUUGCCAUACUAAGUUGUGAUGCACGCCAAUAGGAUCUGUAGAAAUCGGUCAAUGAGCCAGUGACACAGUUGCAAGCAAGAUUUUCAAUCGAUGUAUACCUACCUCCCUCACCAUAUUUAUGCAUUUGACAAUAAACUUGUUUUUUGUA